rfam:marine actinobacterium PHSC20C1 scf_1099646003201 genomic scaffold, whole genome shotgun sequence.
ACUUGUGACACGGGGUGCCCUGCGGGGCUGAGAACACACCCGUCGAACCUGAUCUAGUUAGAACUAGCGAAGGGAUGUCGUGCAUGUCGCGU